rnacentral:rRNA from 1 species
UGGGGAAUAUUGGACAAUGGGGGAAACCCUGAUCCAGCCAUGCCGCGUGUGUGAAGAAGGCCUUCGGGUUGUAAAGCACUUUCAGUAGGGAGGAAAGCUCGGUAGCUAAUAUCUGCCGGGAUUGACGUUACCUACAGAAGCAGCACCGGCUAACUUCGUGCCAGCAGCCGCGGUAAUACGAAGGGUGCAAGCGUUAAUCGGAAUUACUGGGCGUAAAGCGCGCGUAGGCGGUUUGGUUAGUUGGAUGUGAAAGCCCCGGGCUCAACCUGGGAACUGCAUCCAAUACUGCCAAGCUAGAGUACGGUAGAGGGGGGUAGAAUUCCACGUGUAGCGGUGAAAUGCGUAGAGAUGUGGAGGAAUACCAGUGGCGAAGGCGGCCCCCUGGAUCGAUACUGACGCU